CAAAAACAAAAAACUGUCCUGCUUUCUGCCUGUCUUACUGUGGCGGUCCAGAUUGAAUGGGAGAAUACAAGG
rnacentral:snoRNA from 1 species